rnacentral:rRNA from 1 species
GAGCACGUAGGUGGGUUUGUAAGUCAGAUGUGAAAGCCUUCUGUUCAACGGAAGAAUUGCAUCUGAAACUACAAACCUUGAGUAUAGGAGGGGAGAAUGGAACUUCUGGUGGAGCGGUGAAAUGCGUAGAUAUCAGAAGGAACUCCGGCGGCGAAAGCGAUUCUCUGGCCUAUUACUGACACUCAGUGUGCGAAAGCUAGGGGAGCAAACGGGAUUAGAUACCCCGGUAGUCCUAGCCGUAAACGAUGGGCACUAAGUAGAGGGGUUUU